CUGGUAAAAUGUGAUGUACCUAGUAGUAUUAAUCCUUAAUUAAUAUGAGAUUAACUAAGUUAAUUAAAGUUCUAAGUGGAUAUAUGAUUAUGACAAUAUUUAUUUAUGUCUUGACCAAGUCACGUGCCAGCAGUCGCGGUAAUACGUGGAAGAUUAGUGUUAUUCAUUUUUAACAGGUUUAAAGGGUACCUAGACGGUUAAUUAAGCACUAAAAUGUACUAAUUAACUAGAGUUUAAUGUAAGAAAGAUUGAGUACGGUGAGUGUAGAGAUAAAAUUCUAUGAUACCACUUAGGAACUGGUAAAGGCGAAGGCAACUUUUUAUGUAAAAACUGACGUUAAGGGACGAAGGCUCGUAUCAAAUAACAGGAUUAGAUACCCUAGUAUUGUGGGCAGACAAUGAUGAGUGUCAUAUGCAAGAAAGGAAUCUUUUUUGUGUAUAAAUGAAAGUGUAAGCACUCCACCUCAAGAGUAACGUGGCAACAUGGGAACUGAAAUCAUUAGACCGUUUCUGAAACUCGUAGUGAAGUAUGUUGUUUAAUUUGACACCACACAAAUAACCUUACCACAACUUGUAUAACUACACUAUAUAAUAAUGUAGCUACAAGCGUUGCACGGCUGUCUUCAGUCAAUGUUGUGAAACUGUGGUUAGAUCCAUUAAAUUGACGUAAACCCUUACUUUAUUUUAAAUAAAGUAGUUCGCCGCUAUA
rnacentral:rRNA from 1 species